rnacentral:rRNA from 1 species
GAUGAACGCUGGCGGCAUGCCUAACACAUGCAAGUCGAACGGCAGCGCGUUUGGGGUAACCCAAAUGGCGGCGAGUGGCGGACGGGUGAGUAAUAUGUAGGAAUCUGCCCAGAGAUAAGGGAUAACUUAGGGAAACUUAAGCUAAUACCAUAUAAACCCGAGAGGGGAAAGCAGGGGACCGUAAGGCCUUGCGUCUUUGGAUGAGCCUACAUCGGAUUAGCUUGUUGGUGAGGUAAAGGCUCACCAAGGCGACGAUCCGUAGCUGGUCUGAGAGGAUGACCAGCCACACUGGGACUGAGACACGGCCCAGACUCCUACGGGAGGCAGCAGUGGGGAAUAUUGGACAAUGGGGGAAACCCUGAUCCAGCAAUGCCGCGUGUGUGAAGAAGGCCUUCGGGUUGUAAAGCACUUUCAGUUGGGAGGAAGGGGUGAGCACUAAUACUGUUCAUCAUUGACGUUACCGACAGAAGAAGCACCGGCUAACUCUGUGCCAGCAGCCGCCGUAA